ensembl:lncRNA
UUAACAUCACACAUUAUUCAGAUGAUGCAUUACCUCUGUCCCUCUGGAGUGUCUCCUGGUGUUUCCAUUGCUCAGCUUCUCUUCAUGGACACACAACUGGCUUCAGUAGAAAUGAGGAAUCAAAACAUUAAUGUUUCUGAAAAGACAUUACAUUGCUCACAAAUAAAGACACUAGCUGCCUAUCUGUUAAAAGGUAUCUGUGACCAUACCUGCAUAAAAGUCCCAUGCUAUAGGGAUGUGCUGCCCUAACUCCCAGCAGAAACUACAGCCGAUAAGAACGUACCUUUAUUUUCUCAUUUUUAUCAUAGAAAUGAAUGAUUUCAAUAAUAAAAAAGCACUGUUCAAAAGCACCUCCCCCACUUCCUGAUUGAUUCCUUGCCUUGACUGCAGAUGUAAUAAAACAUUUAAAGACACAAGAUUGGCGCAUGCACUCGCUAAACAUUCUGACAAUGGCUUUUAAAAUACUGAUGGUGUUCAGGUUGUUACCUGGUUAAAGCAGACAUGGUGUUCAGGUUGUCAGUCAUACACCAGUUUCUAAAGAGUUCUCACAAAGAAGCGGUAGGGCUGAAUUGCCAAGUACCAGGGAGAGACUUUGGCAUUGUGGUCAGGGUGCAGGUUUAGUACCCCAACAUACUUCUUGUCAGCCAUGUUGUACUGUGAAGGAGGGCCUUUAAGGAUCCCGGUGUAACAGGCCAUAGAAUAGCCCCAGUCCGGACUAUACCUGGGGUUAAAGGGGCCUAGGCUAGAUUAUACCCCGGGUAUAUUAUGGCUAAGGCCAAUUUAAUAAUAAUUCCUCCACAAAGGAGCAAGGCCAGACCUCAAAUGUUGUGGGCGGGGCUAAGUUCGUUUGGUAUCCAGGCUAUUUAUGUCUUACAAUACUCAUGGAAUGGAUCUCAUUCUCAGUCCUGUGUUUCACUCCCUCCAGACUGUGUGGCUACUGUGAUAUUCUCGUUGUGUGAUUUAAUAACCAGACCAGGUGUUAAAGAAAGAUAGUUUACUGAUAUGAAGGAGGCAAUUAUACAUCUGUAGUGUUCACGUACUCGCGGGCUCUGCUCUGCAUGAACACCCAACCUGCGCAUGCCUGUAGGGGGUCAUGCCAUAAGUCACUGAUGUGACAAUGUUAUAAUUCAUAAACAUUACAGCUACCAGGCAAAAUAUAUAUUUUGUUGGGUGUUUGUUUAAUAAUGUUCAUGUCCAUUGUACUUCUGUCAGCUAGCCUUGUUUAAUGCAGGCUCAUCCUACUGUGGCCAGAUACGCUGCUUUUAUGCUGAAAGGUUGAUCUGGCGUAAUGGGUCUCCGUUAGUAAUGCCAUUAGCAGGUUACAUUUCCUUUACUACUUCUCAAAUGUUACACAACCACCGACAGUAGAACAUCACAUAUUUAAAACGGCUUAAGAGUUCGAUACACAGGUCUACACCCUUACUUAUCAGUCUGCGUUUCCGAAACAACUUCCUUUCCUCUCUCGCUCUCAAACAUGUAAUACAGCACCAUACAAACAUCCCCUGAACAAACGCAUGUCUGGACACAUUUAGCUUUUAUUUCUUCCCUUCCUGAUGAGGUUGGAAAUGUAUUAUUCUUUCGAGGGCUCCAGAAAAGAAAUAGUUCAGGCUGCGAUAAAGACACUGAUAUCUUCGUCUCUAAUUUAGCAUGGGGGAAAUGUUAGAUUCAGUAUUUAUUUUAAAAGCAUUACAUAAUUGUAUUGUCAAGUUGUUAAUAGUAUUGCGAGCCGUUACAUUUUGGCAGUUGUUAUAUUGUGGUAUUUUGUGUUUUUUUUUUACCGUUCUCAGUUAUUUCCAUUAUACUGUUCUCAAUUAUGUGUAUUGUAUUUUAAAAAAUACGAACGUUAUCCCUUAAAGAACUGUUCUGAAAGUUGUGCCCCCGGUAAACGUACAGUGAAGUUCAGAAACUCAUUCCACGAGGCAGACACAAUGUCCUCUUCUGGAGAAAUCGCUUGAUUAUUUCAUAGUAUUUGUUUUCAAAUCAACUUCUUCCAAAUUUCCUAGCACGAAAUAUUUCAAAACGUUUUACCCUCCAAAUACUUUACGCUCGUGGUGUAAUGCUGGUUAGCGCUG